UAAUAGUGUAUAUUAAAGUUGUUGCAGUUAAAAAGCUCGUAGUUGAAUGUUGGUGUCGAACGAGCGGUCAGCUUCGGCUGUACUGCUCUCUCGACUCCUUCCUUCUGUGGACUACGUCGCACUUUACUGUGUGGCGCUAGGACGCAGAUCGUUUACUGUGAAAAAAUUAGAGUGUUCAAAGCAGGCCGUACGCUUGAAUACAUUAGCAUGGAAUAAUGGAAUAGGACGUCGGGCCUAUUUUGUUGGUUCUAGGACCGUCGUAAUGAUUAAUAGGGACAGUUGGGGCCGUUUAUAUUCCGUAGUCAGAGGUGAAAUUCUUGGAUUUACGAAAGAUAAACUUCUGCGAAAGCAUUCGGCAAGGAUGUUUNCAUUGA
rnacentral:rRNA from 1 species